GUAGGGAAUAUUGGGCAAUGGAAGCAAUUCUGACCCAGCCAUGCCGCGUGAAGGAAUACAGCCCUAUGGGUUUUAAACUUCUUUUAUUAUAGAGUAAACGGAGGUACGUGUACCUCCCUGCAAGUAUAUGAUGAAUAAGGAUCGGCUAACUCCGUGCCAGCAGCCGCGGUAAUACGGAGGAUCCAAGCGUUAUCCGGAUUUAUUGGGUUUAAAGGGUGCGCAGGCGGAUCAAUAAGUCAGGGGUGAAAAAUUUCAGCUUAACUGGAAUCGUGCCUUUGAUACUGUUGGACUAGAGUAUAAUUGACGUGACUGGAAUGUGAUGUGUAGCGGUGAAAUGCUUAGAUAUGUCACAGAACGCCAAUCGUGAAGACAGGUCACGAAAUUAUUACUGACGCUCAUGCACGAAAGCGUGGGGAUCAAACAGGAUUAGAAACCCGGGUAGUCC
rnacentral:rRNA from 1 species